rnacentral:tRNA from 1 species
ACGACUGUAGCUCAGUUGGUUAGAGCACUACCUUGACAUGGUAGGGGUCGGUGAUUCGAAUUCACUCAGUCGUACCA